GUGGGGAAUAUUGGGCAAUGGGCGCAAGCCUGACCCAGCAACGCCGCGUGAAGGAAGAAGGCUUUCGGGUUGUAAACUUCUUUUACCAGGGACGAAACAAAUGACGGUACCUGGUGAAUAAGCCACGGCUAACUACGUGCCAGCAGCCGCGGUAAUACGUAGGUGGCGAGCGUUAUCCGGAUUUAUUGGGCGUAAAGGGAGUGUAGGCGGGACAGCACGUCAGAUGUGAAAACCAGAGGCUCAACCUCUGGCCUGCAUUUGAAACUGUGGUUCUUGAGUGUCGGAGAGGUAAUCGGAAUUCCGUGUGUAGCGGUGAAAUGCGUAGAUAUACGGAGGAACACCAGUGGCGAAGGCGGAUUACUGGACGAUAACUGACGCUGAGGCGCGAAAGCGUGGGGAGCAAACAGGAUUAGAAACCCUGGUAGUCC
rnacentral:rRNA from 1 species